rnacentral:rRNA from 1 species
GAUGAACGCUGGCGGCGUGCUUAACACAUGCAAGUCGAACGAUGAAGCCCAGCUUGCUGGGUAGAUUAGUGGCGAACGGGUGAGUCACACGUGAGUAACCUGCCCUUAACUCUGGGAUAAGCCGGGGAAACUGGGUCUAAUACCGGAUAGGAGCGUCCACCGCAUGGGGGGUUUUGGAAAGAUGUAUCGGUUUUGGAUGGACUCGCGGCCUAUCAGCUUGUUGGUGAGGUAAUGGCUCACCAAGGCGACGACGGGUAGCCGGCCUGAGAGGGUGACCGGCCACACUGGGACUGAGACACGGCCCAGACUCCUACGGGAGGCAGCAGUGGGGAAUAUUGCACAAUGGGCGCAAGCCUGAUGCAGCGACGCCGCGUGAGGGAUGACGGCCUUCGGGUUGUAAACCGCUUUCAGUAGGGAAGAAGCGAAAGGGACGGUACCUUCAGAAGAAGCACCGGCUAACUACGUG